rnacentral:rRNA from 1 species
GACGAACGCUGGCGGCGUGCCUAACACAUGCAAGUCGAACGGGACCAGGGGCAACUCUGGUUCAGUGGCGGACGGGUGCGUAACACGUGAGGAACAUGACCUUCGGCGGGGGAGUAGCCGGCCCGAACCGGCCGGGUAAGUACCGCGUACGACCACAUGGGGACGAUCCCUCGAGUGGUGAAAGCAGCAAUGCGCCGAUGGAGUGCCUCGCGGCCUAUCAGCUAGUUGGUGAGGAACGG